rnacentral:rRNA from 1 species
UGGGGAAUUUUGGACAAUGGGGGAAACCCUGAUCCAGCCAUCCCGCGUGUGCGAUGAAGGCCUUCGGGUUGUAAAGCACUUUUGGCAGGAAAGAAACGUCAUGGGUUAAUACCCCGUGAAACUGACGGUACCUGCAGAAUAAGCACCGGCUAACUACGUGCCAGCAGCCGCGGUAAUACGUAGGGUGCAAGCGUUAAUCGGAAUUACUGGGCGUAAAGCGUGCGCAGGCGGUUCGGAAAGAAAGAGGUGAAAUCCCAGGGCUCAACUUUGGAACUGCAUUUUUAACUACCGGGCUAGAGUGUGUCAGAGGGAGGUGGAAUUCCGCGUGUAGCAGUGAAAUGCGUAGAUAUGCGGAGGAACACCGAUGGCGAAGGCAGCCUCCUGGGAUAACACUGACGCUCAUGCACGAAAGCGUGGGGAGCAAACAGG